GAAUUCAAAAAACUGUCGACAACACUGAGAAUCUGAGAUACUAGUAGAGAAACCACAGAGGAUUUUGGGAGAUCAUCAACCAUAUUGGGAUAAGAAGCAAGAAAUCAUAACCCAUUUAACAUUGACUUGAAACUUUCUCAUAAACUCUCACCAAUGGCAUCACGAGCUGGGGGUCUGGUUCAAGAUCAGAAUAUAAAUAUCCACUACAAUGAAACUUCUGUUGGCUGGAAGACAAACGGCUCUAAAGCGCCUCCAAGGAAAGGAGUGCUAGGUGGAAGGACACCACUUGGUGAUUUGUCAAAUUCACUGAAGCCUUCUCUGAAUCAGGCAUCAAAGAAGCAUAACUCUAGCAUUGCCUCCUUAGCUGAGAAAGAGACUGGUGCCUCUUUAAAUGCACUUGACGCAACCAAGAAGAAAAGUACCUCUAAACCUUCAGGGAAGGUGCAAACCAAUGGUAGAAAGGCGCUUUCUGACAUUUCAAAUUCAGGGAAGCCAAACCUGAAUGAGGGAUCGAAGAAGAACUACAAUGCAAAGUUAAGUGUUGUGGCAGAGGAGUCAAUUGAUGCCAAUGCAAUUGCAGAGGAACAGUUUCUGCACAAUCAUCAAGAAUGCAUCAAAGCACAAGCAAGAGCCAUGGACUUGGAUCAAUUUCUACAAACAAUUGGACUAGACAAUGGUAACCAAAAGUUGACCCUUAUAUAUGUAAUUAUUUGUAUCCUUUUUUUACCCUAGCAAAUUAAUUCACGUAUUUGUUUUCUUGUCUAGGUUUUCCCAAACUGCGGGCAAAUCCUAUGUCAAUUAAGGUGAAGGUCUGUCUGAUGGAGUAAACUGCGGGCAAAUCAUAUUUGUUUUCUUGUGGAGUAAACUUUUGUUUCAUUGAUUAUCUGAGUAGAUAGUUUGUGUUUCAGGCUCAGAGUCCCCCAAGGCACUUGGAACUGGAAGAGAUGUUUAAAGAUCCAUCCUGGAAACACAAGCCAUCUAGCAAACUUGAUUCUCCGCCUGCAUGCAGUACUCCAAAAUCACCAAAGCAUUAUAUGCAUCUUGACUACAACUUUAAGCUGUUCGAAUCCCCAUAGAUGCCAAAGCAUUGAUUUCCCUCAUCAAUGCCUGUCUGGGAAGCAGUAAUUUUGCAGCAGUCAUGUGAUUUCAAUCUUUUUGCUUUCUUGUUUGGAUUGGAACGGAAUUUAUGCCUGAUAUGGAUAGUAGACUAUUGUAGAAUAUGCAGUUGCUUUUGUUAGGGGUUAAAGAUUGCAGUUGCUUUUGUUAUUACUGAUUGAAGCACAUAGGUAUGAUCAUUAUCUUAUUUUCUAGUACGUUAGAACUUACUUGGAAGUUUUUCCCCUUGCAAAUACCUUUAUUUCUUGUCGUCUUAUUUGGUUUCUUGGAAGGAAAAGGGGCAAAAAAAAAAUUGGUGAAGGGGCAAAAUGAACUCGAGAAUGUAUGUAACAGCAAAUAAGCUGAGCUUGACUAGCCAGCAAAUAAGCUAGCUAGUUAAAUUUAGAUUCUGUUUGGGGUAAGAUAAAAAAUGUAAUUUUCGAAAAAUAAUAGAUGCUGUUUUAUGAUUAAAAUAAGUUUAAUUUUAAAUUGAUUUUAAUAUCUUAUAACUUGCAUAUUUUAAAAAACAUUUUCUAAUAAUAAUGCCAAAUUGACCAUAAAAUUGAAGUAAAAUUCUCUAAUCAUCAAAUUAGAUUAAUUAUAUCCCCAUAUUAAUAUUUCCUAAAAAAUAAAAAAAAAGCAAAAUGCCCAUAUUAUUCUUAAAAAAUAUCUCUCCAUAUAUUAUUUGGUUGUUUGCGUUAAUUUAAUUAGUUUAUUAUGUAAUGUACUUUGACUUUAAUAGCUAAUGUCACUUGGUACAUUUUUCCAUGGUCAUACAUAGCUGGCCUAAACUUCUGAGUGGGCCUUCCAAUGGAAAUCUAUGGGCUUCCAAGAUUUUGAAUCUCCUGGUCCACUAUUGGGGGAAUAAAAUAUGAUUACUAAUCCCCGCAAGACCAUCGGGUGCACACAAAAACUCGUUGUGAGUGGAGCAUGUGCACAAUGCGAACCUAAUAAAUUUCCCCUCUGUUCUGCAACCCUGCUUAACAAAAACUCCGCACUCCCACUGGAAAACCACGG
rnacentral:misc_RNA from 1 species